CUAAAUUAACAAAAGCAGCCUCAAUGUACUGCAAGAGUUCUAGUUUCACCUACAUUCUCUGCGUUAAACUAUUUCCUUCUACAUAGAAGGGCACACAUUUUAAACCUCAGGACCAUGCAUCAGCUCUAAAUUAAGUAACAAGAGCAGGAGAAAUACAAGGAGCUAGAUGUGGAAGCAUACAGAAGACAAAAGGCAUAUUAUUUCAUUCCUGACAGUCAACUCAAUAUAUGUCUCCUCAGGAGCCAGUUCUAUUGAGUUCAAUGGAAUUUACUCCCAGCUCACCCAGUGGCACCUGAAAGCUGAGAUGAAGCAACUUACAGUGAAGACUCCCUGGGCACUGGUUGAAAGGAUAAGAAUUACCUAUGAAACCAACACCCUCUCUUCUAUGAUUUACGGGACCACUUUGUUCUGUUUAGUCUGAGACUGUAUAUCCACAUAUACAUUUUCUUACCAGCAACAAGGAGCACCUUGAUGUUCUUAAAUGAUUAUUUAUUCUGAUAAACAUUUUAAGAACUAUGUAGAUAUUUAACUGAUUUUGUCAGCGAUACAGAGCACUUGCAAAGAAAAAAGUGGCACCGAACUUCAUUAAACUUAACACCCAAUUAAAUAUACAUUUAUUUACAUUUACAAACUCAAACUCCAGUUCCUAUAAAACAGCUUGUUAAUUAUAAUAACUCAGUUUUGUCUCCUGAAGAUAUAUCAAAUGUAGUGAUAACCUGUAGAAACUACUAUUCUGACACGCUAAAACCUGUAGUUAAUUCUGGGAAAGAAACUAUUAUCAUCUAUUCUGAACAUCCUUCUAGCAGGAAGACUUAUAUAGAAACAUUGUUUAAUACUUGGAAGUGAUUAUUUAAAUUAUAAUACAUGGAGCAGCAAUAAGUUAUAACAUUAUCCUUAAAAGGACUUAUCCUUCUAUAAGGAUAAGAAGAAUUUUACCAUGCUCAAAAAAAAAUCUAAUAAGUAAUAGGAUUCUCAUCACUUGACAGAAUGCUACUAAUCACCAAUUCACAGUGUUUGUUAUUGUUUUGUAAACUGUUGCAGUAUUUAUCUACAGUUCCCCUUCAGGGAAAGUGGAAUUUAUAUGAAUGUACAAACUAUCAAAAUCACUUUUACUAAAAAACAAAUCCAAGUGAUUUAAAGGAAGCUUGGUUUUUGAUCUGCUUAACAUAGUUAAAUUACCAGUUAGAAUUAUGUAGCAAAAUCCUAUCCAUAUUUUCACAGAAGUAAAUACUAAUGCAACAAAGUGAGUUAAUUGUACAAUAAAAGUAUUUCAAAACUACAGUUUAACUGUCAACAGUUGCUAUGAUAGCAUAAAAUUCUUAGAAUAAGAUACAUUAAUACCUAUUGGUAAGAAA